GGGAAAAUAGUUCAGUGGUAGAGUGCCUGCCUAGCAUGCAUGAGGUGCUGGGUUUAAUCCCUAGUAUUAUUU
rnacentral:tRNA from 1 species